GGAUCCAGACUUUGAUUCUGGCUCAGAACGAACGCUGGCGGCAGGCCUAACACAUGCAAGUCGAGCGCGACCUUCGGGUUGAGCGGCGGACGGGUUAGUAACGCGUGGGAAUAUGCCCGGUACUAAGGAAUAGCCUCUGGAAACGGAGAGUAAUACCUUAUACGCCCUUCGGGGGAAAGAUUCAUCGGUAUCGGAUUAGCCCGCGUUAGAUUAGAUAGUUGGUGGGGUAACGGCCUACCAAGUCUACGAUCUAUAGCUGGUUUUAGAGGAUGAUCAGCAACACUGGGACUGAGACACGGCCCAGACUCCUACGGGAGGCAGCAGUGGGGAAUCUUGGACAAUGGGCGCAAGCCUGAUCCAGCCAUGCCGCGUGAGUGAUGAAGGCCUUAGGGUCGUAAAGCUCUUUCGCCGGAGAUGAUAAUGACAGUAUCUGGUAAAGAAACCCCGGCUAACUCCGUGCCAGCAGCCGCGG
rnacentral:rRNA from 1 species